rnacentral:rRNA from 1 species
GAUGAACGCUGGCGGCGUGCCUAAUACAUGCAAGUCGAGCGAAGCGGGGACGGUUGAGUAACACGUGGAUAACCUCCUAUAAGACUGGUAUAACUUCGUGCAACCCGUUCUAACCCGUAUUCUUAUCUCUGGCUCCUCUCUGCAUUAGCUAGUUGGUACGGUAACGGCUUACCACGGAAACUAUGCAUAGCAGACCUGAGAGGGGGAGCGGCCACCCUGGAACUGUGACACGUGCCAGCCUCCUACGGGAGGCAGCAGUAGGGAAUCUUCCGCAAUGGUCGACAGCCUGACGGAGCAACGCCGCGUGAGUGAUUAAGGUCUUUGGAUCGUAAAACUCUGUUAUUAGGGAAGCGGAACAUAAAGAGAAAGCAACGGCUAACUACGUGCCAGCAGCCGCGGUAAGUG